UUAAAAUUAGUUAAAUAAAUAACACGAGCUUGUCAAGCUCGAAUUAUUACAAAGUAAUAUUUUAAA